CAGUAGCCGCGGGAAUACGUAGGGUGCAAGCGUUAAUCGGAAUUACUGGGCGUAAAGCGUGCGCAGGCGGUUUGUUAAGACAGAUGUGAAAUCCCCGGGCUUAACCUGGGAACUGCAUUUGUGACUGGCAAGCUAGAGUCUGGCAGAGGGGGGUGGAAUUCCGCGUGUAGCAGUGAAAUGCGUAGAUAUGCGGAGGAACACCGAUGGCGAAGGCAGCCCCCUGGGCCAACACUGACGCUCAUGCACGAAAGCGUGGGGAGCAAACAGGAUUAGAUACCCCUGUAGUCCCUGUCUCUUAUAC
rnacentral:rRNA from 1 species